AUUGAACGCUGGCGGCAGGCCUAACACAUGCAAGUCGAACGGUAACAGGAAGCAGCUUGCUGCUUCGCUGACGAGUGGCGGACGGGUGAGUCAUGUCUGGGAAGCUGCCUGAUGGAGGGGGAUAACUACUGGAAACGGUAGCUAAUACCGCAUAAUGUCGCAAGACCAAAGAGGGGGACCUUCGGGCCUCUUGCCAUCGGAUGUGCCCAGAUGGGAUUAGCUUGUUGGUGGGGUAACGGCUCACCAAGGCGACGAUCCCUAGCUGGUCUGAGAGGAUGACCAGCCACACUGGAACUGAGACACGGUCCAGACUCCUACGGGAGGCAGCAGUGGGGAAUAUUGCACAAUGGGCGCAAGCCUGAUGCAGCCAUGCCGCGUGUAUGAAGAAGGCCUUCGGGUUGUAAAGUGCUUUCAGCGGGGAGGAAGGGAGUAAAGUUAAUACCUUUGCUCAUUGACGUUACCCGCAGAAGAAGCACCGGCUAACUCCGUG
rnacentral:rRNA from 1 species